GUAUAUAAUUUUUUUCCCCCCUUUUUUUCCUAUUUAUGUUUUAAUAUGUAUAAUGAGAACUGACUUUAUAAUUUUAAAAUCGGUGCCGGAAAUUAAGAAUCACUAAGCAAGAGCAAAGCACUCUGGACGAAGUAGUUUCUACUGCAAACCGGAAGUGGGUUCGCGCGUCACUUCCAGAGAAACAAACAAACAAGGAUCAUCAUAGAAACAUCGCCCCAACCUCGCAUUAGCUGAGAAUAACCCAUGGAGAUU